rnacentral:misc_RNA from 1 species
GAGAAAGUCCAUUGCCGAAAGUUCUCGUUUUCACAUGUCUGGCCCCUGGAUCUUCCAAGGCUAACUCUACUCUGACAAAUGUGAAAUUCUACUCCCGUGAAAUCGUGGACAAUUAUGAGUGUCGCACGAUUCAAGGAACGAGUCGCGGGCUGAGUCAUCGCGCGAAAUCCACCGGAAGAUCAGAUCGGCCCACACGCGCUGCUCAUGGCUCGCAUGUGCAAGCAGAUGCACGCACUGAUGCAGCUUCAUGGGCCACAGCCUGGCCAGGGGAUCACAGCCACGAUUUUCCAUGAACGACGACCCAUGAUUCGAAUCUAGUGUCCUAAAAAUCUAUCUUCUCUAGUUGCGAUCAUUCCUCCAGAACUUGUAUUUUUCUAGAUACCGACG